UACGGAGGGUGCGAGCGUUGUCCGGAAUCACUGGGCGUAAAGGGCGCGUAGGCGGCCUGGUAAGCGUGCUGUGAAAGCCCGGCGCUCAACCCCGGGUCUGCCGUGCGAACUGCCGGGCUUGAGCACUGUAGAGGCAGGUGGAAUUCCGGGUGUAGCGGUGGAGUGCGUAGAUAUUGGGAAGAACACCGGUGGCGAAGGCGACUUGCUGGGCAGCAACUGACGUUGAGGCUCGAAAGCGUGGGGAGCAAACAGGAUUAGAUACCCUGGUAGU
rnacentral:rRNA from 1 species